GGCCGAAGUGGGUGGGGAGAGUGGGCGGGGCAAGGGACGCGGCGCGGCGGAGGGUCAAGUUUCCCCAGUUGGGUUCGCUCUGAGAUAGGCAGCUUGACGGAAGUCCCCUAACCAGGGGUCAGAUCCGAACGCAGCUGCAGCAUCGUUGGAUCCUUUAACCCUCUGUGGCAGGCUGGUGACUGAACUCUCGCCUCCAUAGUGACCGGAGCUACUGCAUUCGGAUUCUCAACCCAUUGUGCCACAGCGGGAACUUAUCAACCUUUAAUAUUUAAGAAGAGGGUUAAAUUGUGUUUAUUUGUGGCUCAUCAAGUGAGCGACAGUAUUGUGUGUAUUUAUGUCACCUUUACCUUUGGCGUCUAUUACCUGUGAUUUAAUUUUUAAGUAAAUCAGUGGAUUUUGGCUGUAGACAUUUUGUAGCUCAACCUAGUUUUUUUUAUACGAAAAAUGGUCAUCAUAAGAGGCUGUUAACAUGUCAAAGUUAUGUUUAAUCAGGCAAGGCCAGGCAGUGUAUUUACCUUUGUUCCCUAACACAGGAGAAUAAUUGUUACACAGUAUCUUAAGAAAAAAAAAAAAAAA